AUGAACCCGGAGAUGAUUCACCUGGCGGAGGAGCAGACGCGGCGCAUGUUCCCCGACGACCUCGCCGGGAUGCAUGAGAGGCCUGAGGACCCCAAACUUGCCGCUCGGCAGCUGGACCAAACCAGGCGGGAGGAGAUGCUUUCCAUGGCGAGAAAGUUCGCCGCCGAUAAUCCCGAGGAGUUCGCCGCCAUGAAGGCCCAAGCCGACGCUCAGAGCUCGCACGCCGUAACCGGCGCCAAGACGGUGAAGCGAGACAGGAAGGGCUUGAUCGUUGCCGUUGUCAUGCUGAUCCUGGCCUUGAUCCUCCUGCGGCUUGGGUUCGGUGUCAAGUCCACGUUAAGGGUGUGUAGUCAGUUAGAUAGAUGGUUUUCGGCCAAACCCAACAAAAACAAGUAA
rnacentral:rRNA from 1 species